UGAAUGAGUGCGGGCGGGGCGGUGCCAUUUCUUUUAGGAUUGACACUGCAUAUAUAAGCCAUGUGGUGGGUUGUUUGUUUCAACUGCUCUCCUGCAGCAUCAGGCAGCAUGACAACCCAAAGACGGAUUCUGGCAUUCUCUCUUUCACUGGCCUCAGUUUUUGGCACAGUGGAAUUGUUAAAGACCAAAGAAACUCAGACUUACACUUGCAGGACAUUUGGCAGCGGGAUCGUCCAGCCUUUUCAGGGGGAGAGUUAUUAUGUUCGGUCUGACUGCCCGUUCACACUCACAAGCUUCAACGUCAACCAGGGGGAAUAUUCUGUCACCAUACGGCGAGGUCCCAACGGGCUGUUGGUCCAAGUCGAGAUCAUCGUCAACAAAGUCACAACACUUUUGCAGGAUGGCAACGUUGUGGUGAAGAACAAAAGUGUUUCCGAUCCAUGCGACCAAAAAUACCAGCAAAUCUUUAAAUACGGCAUCUACACUAGACUGAAGAGCUCGCUGCUUCCUUUUAGUGUCACCUGGCACAGUGUAUGUGGGGGAAUAAACUCUCUGUGGGUAAGCAUAAUCAAUGACUUAAGUUAAUUGGAACACGUGGAAAACGUUGCAGGCCACAGGGACAAGUUGAUCAGAGACAGCAAGCUCCAUGACCACAAAUGUAAAACCAGCAGUCCUGUAUUGCAAAAAAACGAUAUAUGCCGUCAAUUCUUUCAAGAAAUCAAGGACUGUGUGCGAUACAACAAUUCUCACUAUCAGCAACUCUGUGAAGAGAACAUUUUUGGCUUUGAAAACAGCCAGAGCGUCUUCUGUCCUUUCUUCAAAGAAUUUGCAAGCCAGUGUAACCAAUCAAGAAUCAACCGAUUUUGGAGGGAUUUAACCAAAUGUGCAGAACCGAGGUGUCCAGGAGACCUGAUUUAUAGGGAAAAGGGUCCAGCAGUUAUUCCCAGCUGCUCCAACCCGAAACCUCCACCCUUCUACCAGGAACUCACUGAAAGCUGUGCCUGUCCAGAGGGUAACGUUUUGAAUAAUGGUGCAAAGGGCUAUCGCUGUAUUCCUUGGUCCAACUGCUCUUGUGAGUUUGCUGGCAAGAGUUACAGAAACGGAGAAAUACGACGUUCCAAGUGUCACUCAUGUACGUGUCAUGGUGUGGUAUGGCGAUGCUCAGAGAACUUUUGCCGCAGAAGAUGUGUCAUUGAAGGCCCGUUUGUGACAACAUUCGAUGGAAAACAACAUGUCCUCCCUCAAAAAUGUUCAUAUGUGGCUUCAAAGGGUCCCAACUGGAGAAUAAGAAUACAUUUUUCACGAAAAGGACUCUAUCUUAGAAAGGUUGUGGUCCGGUUCUCUGAGGAACUGUUUGUAUUCAAAGAGAACAAGGUUUUGUGGAAUGGGCAGGAGAUCACUAAAUUCCAUCAGUUCCAAGAAAAUUGUAAUGCUAAGAUUUACUGGGUGUCCUCCACGUUCCUCCAGGUCCACACAACCUCUGGGUUUUUUUUUCAAAUUCAGCUGUCCCCUGAAAUCCAGCUGUUCAUCGACGCACCCGACAACUCCAACUACAAGAUUGAAGGUCUUUGUGGCAAUAGCAACAAUAACACCACAGAUGACUUCAUCACCAAGAGCAGGAUCAUUGAGAACUCAGCUGAACCAUUUGCUCUCUCCUGGAGUUUGGGGAAUUGUCAAGGGAACAUACACACCAACUGCACCAAACGUGAAUAUGAGAAUUAUGCUCAUGAAAAGUGUGCAGUGUUGAACCAACCAACUGGGGUAUUUGCCCAGGGCCACCCUCAUAUCCCAACUGAUUACUACUAUGAGGCUUGCAUCCAAAGAAUAUGUAACUCUGGCAGGAGUCAGAAAGAGGCCUUGUGUAUUGGUCUUGCCAGCUACGCCAAAGCCUGCGCCGGUGUUGGUGUUGUAAUUGGUGACUGGAAGAAAAACAUGGGCUGUGCAUAAAGGUAAGCUGUAAACCGAGGGUGCAUGCACACAACAAUUGCUGUCAGGAGAAGACCUCGGAGACGAAAACACUUUCCGCAAUAUGCUACCACCCUGUGACCCACAGAAGAGAGGAAAAGACGUUCACCGACAAGCACGUCACCUCUGCAGACUGUGUGACACACAACACUGAAAUUCUUUUGUUAGCGCA